rnacentral:sRNA from 1 species
AAUGCUGCUUGUGACCAUGAAACUCUGUUAACUCAGGCUUUUAAAUGGCUGACACGUAGGCUGAGGCAGAAGAGGAGGGGUUGGUCUUGUUUCAGGGGUGGCAGAGGCGGAAGAAAAUUGACAUGUAACUGGACUCGUGAAGUUCAAACCUGUGUUAUUCAAGGGUCAACUGCAUCAAGUAACUGGCAGAAGUUUUGGUGAUAAAGAUUUUCGGACAGGUUUAGAAAAUGGAAUCCUCCUCUGCGAGUUGCUGAAUGCUAUAAAGCCAGGACUUGUUAAAAAGAUCAAUAGAUUGCCUACCCCCAUUGCAGGACUGGAAAUUGAUCCCAUUCAAGAUGAGAAGUAAGUUUCUAAAGUCAUUGUCAAGCCAGCUGUGUAAUUAGGCUCAGACAUCCUUCCAAACAAGUGCAUGAUUCUUAACAUUUUCUAAAGGAGUUGCUCAGGACAAAAUAACACUAGACAAUAUUAUCUUAUUCUUGAGAGGUUG